rnacentral:lncRNA from 1 species
CAGACUAGCCAAGUGGCUGAGACGAGUGUGGGUCAAGGGAGAAAGAGAACCGGCAGCUGGCCUCGGACUCUAAGCGGUGCGCAGCUCCAGCCCGAGCGGAUCGGCCCUGAACCCACAAAGGACUCCUCGCUCCUUCAAGCCUCCACCACCUCGCAGCCGGGGAGGCAACUGGAGCGAAACCAGCGACAGUUUAAAUGUUUAUUUGCUACUUGGCUACUGAUUAGAGAACGCAAAAUGAAUAACUCAACAAACUCCUCUAACAAUAGCCUGGCU